rnacentral:rRNA from 1 species
GCUCAGGAUGAACGCUAGCGGCAGGCCUAACACAUGCAAGUCGAGGGGCAUCGAGGAGUAGCAAUACUCUGUCGGCGACCGGCGCACGGGUGCGUAACGCGUAUGCGACCUACCUAUAACAGGGAGAUAACCCAGAGAAAUUUGGACUAAUAUCCCAUAUUAUUAUUUAGUUGCAUGAUUAGAUAAUGAAAGACGCGAGUUGGUUAUAGAUGGGCAUGCGUGACAUUAGCUAGUUGGUAAGGUAACGGCUUACCAAGGCAACGAUGUCUAGGGGAACUGAGAGGUUAAUCCCCCACACUGGUACUGAGACACGGACCAGACUCCUACGGGAGGCAGCAGUGAGGAAUAUUGGUCAAUGGUCGGAAGACUGAACCAGCCAUGCCGCGUGAAGGAAGAAUGUCCUAUGGAUUGUAAACUUCUUUUGUAAGGGAGCAAUAAGUCUCAUGCGUGAGAUGAUGAGAGUACCUUACGAAUAAGCAUCGGCUAACUCCGUGCCAGCAGCCGCGGUAAUACGGAGGAUGCGAGCGUUAUCCGGAUUUAUUGGGUUUAAAGGGUGCGUAGGCGGACUAUUAAGUCAGUGGUGAAAUACCGGAGCUUAACUUCGGGGCUGCCAUUGAUACUGAUAGACUAGAGAGUAAAUGGAGUAGGCGGAACAUGUCAUGUAGCGGUGAAAUGCUUAGAUAUGACAUAGAACACCGAUCGCGAAGGCAGCUUGCUAAGAUACAUCUGACGCUGAUGCACGAAAGCGUGGGGAUCGAACAGGAUUAGAUACCCUGGUAGUCCACGCAGUAAACGAUGAUAACUUGUUGUCGGCGAUACACAGUCGGUGACCAAGCGAAAGCGAUAAGUUAUCCACCUGGGGAGUACGUUCGCAAGGUUGAAACUCAAAGGAAUUGACGGGGGGCCCGCACAAGCGGAGGAGCAUGUGGUUUAAUUCGAUGAUACGCGAGGAACCUUACCUAGACUCAAAUGUUGAGUGGCCGUUUCAGAAAUGGAACUUCUCUUCGGAGCACUUAGCAAGGUGCUGCAUGGUUGUCGUCAGCUCGUGCCGUGAGGUGUCAGGUUAAGUCCUAUAACGAGCGCAACCCCUGCACAUAGUUGCCAUCAUUCAGUUGGGGACUCUAUGUGGACUGCCGGCGCAAGCCGCGAGGAAGGUGGGGAUGACGUCAAAUCAGCACGGCCCUUACGUCUAGGGCGACACACGUGCUACAAUGGUCGGUACAGAGGGCAGCUACCCAGCGAUGGGGUGCGAAUCUCGAAAGCCGAUCUCAGUUCGGAUCGGAGUCUGCAACUCGACUCCGUGAAGUUGGAUUCAAUAGUAAUCGCGUAUCAGCCAUGACGCGGUGA